AGAGUUUGAUCAUGGCUCAGAACGAACGCUGGCGGCAGGCUUAACACAUGCAAGUCGAACGGGCGUAGCAAUACGUCAGUGGCAGACGGGUGAGUAACACGUGGGAACCUUCCUAGGGAACGGAACAACUCAGGGAAACUUGAGCUAAUACCGUAUACGUCCGUGAGGAGAAAGAUUUAUCGCCCUUAGACGGGCCCGCGUCGGAUUAGCUAGCUGGUGGGGUAACGGCCUACCAAGGCGACGAUCCGUAGCUGAUCUGAGAGGAUGAUCAGCCACACUGGGACUGAGACACGGCCCAGACUCCUACGGGAGGCAGCAGUGGGGAAUCUUGGACAAUGGGCGCAAGCCUGAUCCAGCCAUGCCGCGUGAGUGAAGAAGGCCUUCGGGUUGUAAAGCUCUUUUGUCAGGGACGAUAAUGACGGUACCUGAAGAAUAAGCCCCGGCAAACUUCGUG
rnacentral:rRNA from 1 species